rnacentral:tRNA from 1 species
AGGGGCUUAGGAUAACAUUAGACCAACAGCCUUCAAAGCUGCCAGUGGAAGUGAAAAUCUUCCAGCCUCUG